UUUAUUGGAGAGUUUGAUCCUGGCUCAGGAUGAACGCUGGCGGCGUGCCUAAUACAUGCAAGUCGAGCGAAUGGAUUAAGAGCUUGCUCUUAUGAAGUUAGCGGCGGACGGGUGAGUAACACGUGGGUAACCUGCCCAUAAGACUGGGAUAACUCCGGGAAACCGGGGCUAAUACCGGAUAACAUUUUGAACCGCAUGG
rnacentral:rRNA from 1 species